rnacentral:rRNA from 1 species
CCUACGGGGGGCUGCAGUGAGGAAUAUUGCCCAAUGGAGGAAACUCUGAGGCAGCGACGCCGCGUGGGUGAUGAAGGCCUUCGGGUCGUAAAGCCCUUUUCUGCAUGACGAGCGAGGACGGUAGUGCAGGAAAAAGUCUCGGCUAACUACGUGCCAGCAGCCGCGGUAAAACGUAGGAGGCAAGCGUUAUCCGGAGUUACUGGGCGUAAAGCGUGCGUAGGCGGAUGGGUAAGUGGGUGGUGAAAGCGCUCGGCUAAACCGGGCGAGUGCCAUUC